AAAGAAAAAAAAUAAAAAAAUUGCUGAGGAAAUUCCCUUUGGUCGGGUCAAACCCAUCAUCUGACUUAUAACCAUGAAGCCUGAUCACGCUAGAGCACACAUGGUAGCCAUCCCGAAUGACACAUGCCAAAGUACAUGGGAUUUCAAAAGUAAGAAGAAUUAUGAACGCCUGGAUGGCAGGAUUACUUUGCAAACAAACAUACAUCCAAUCAUGAUCCAGCAUUUCCUACCUUCCGUGAUGCACCCCAUGCGUUCCUCAUCAACAUCCAACUAUCCAAGUGCAUCCACGUCCUUCUCAGUUCCCACGGACAAAACCAAAACAAGACCUCCCGCAUGAUCCAC